rnacentral:tRNA from 1 species
GGAUUGUGGCUCAGUGGUAGAGCGCUCGCACAGCACAUGCAAGGCCCUGGGUUCGAUCCUCAGCACCA